rnacentral:rRNA from 1 species
UGGGGAAUAUUGCACAAUGGGCGCAAGCCUGAUGCAGCCAUGCCGCGUGUGUGAAGAAGGCCUUCGGGUUGUAAAGCACUUUCAGCGGGGAGGAAGGCGAUAAGGUUAAUAACCUUGUCGAUUGACGUUACCCGCAGAAGAAGCACCGGCUAACUCCGUGCCAGCAGCCGCGGUAAUACGGAGGGUGCAAGCGUUAAUCGGAAUUACUGGGCGUAAAGCGCACGCAGGCGGUCUGUCAAGUCGGAUGUGAAAUCCCCGGGCUUAACCUGGGAACUGCAUUCGAAACUGGCAGGCUAGAGUCUUGUAGAGGGGGGUAGAAUUCCAGGUGUAGCAGUGAAAUGCGUAGAGAUCUGGAGGAAUACCGGUGGCGAAGGCGGCCCCCUGGACAAAGACUGACGCUCAGGUGCGAAAGCGUGGGGAGCAAACAGG